rnacentral:tRNA from 1 species
GGUGGUGUGCCCGAUCGGUAAAGGGGCAGGUUUGGCAAACCCUGGCUCGCUGAAGGCUAACCCCUUCCGCGAAGCGGGUUCGACUCCCGUCACCACCU